rnacentral:rRNA from 1 species
CCUACGGGAGGCUGCAGUGAGGAAUAUUGGUCAAUGGACGAGAGUCUGAACCAGCCAAGUAGCGUGAAGGAUGACUGCCCUAUGGGUUGUAAACUUCUUUUAUAUGGGAAUAAAACGUUCCACGUGUGGGAUUUUGUAUGUACCAUAUGAAUAAGGAUCGGCUAACUCCGUGCCAGCAGCCGCGGUAAUACGGAGGAUCCGAGCGUUAUCCGGAUUUAUUGGGUUUAAAGGGAGCGUAGGUGGAUUGUUAAGUCAGUUGUGAAAGUUUGCGGCUCAACCGUAAAAUUGCAGUUGAAACUGGCAGUCUUGAGUACAGUAGAGGUGGGCGGAAUUCGUGGGGUAGCGGUGAAAUGCUUAGAUAUCACGAAGAACUCCGAUUGCGAAGGCAGUUCACUGGACUGCAACUGACACUGAGGCUCGAAAGUGUGGGUAUCAAACAGGAUUAGAUACCCUGGUAGUC